rnacentral:rRNA from 1 species
CGAGCGGUAACAGAAAGAAGCUUGCUUCUUUGCUGACGAGCGGCGGACGGGUGAGUAAUACUUGGGAAUCUGCCUUGUGGAGGGGGACAACCACUGGAAACGGUGGCUAAUACCGCAUAAUGCCUUCGGGCCAAAGUAUGGGACCUUCGGGCCAUACACCACAAGAUGAGCCCAAGCGAGAUUAGGUAGUUGGUGGGGUAAAGGCCUACCAAGCCUGCGAUCUCUAGCUGGUCUGAGAGGAUGAUCAGCCACACUGGGACUGAGACACGGCCCAGACUCCUACGGGAGGCAGCAGUGGGGAAUAUUGGACAAUGGGGGCAACCCUGAUCCAGCCAUGCCGCGUGUGUGAAGAAGGCCUUCGGGUUGUAAAGCACUUUCAGUGGUGAGGAAGGCGUUGUAGUUAAUAGCUGCAACGAUUGACGUUAGCCACAGAAGAAGCACCGGCUAACUCCGUGCCAGCAGCCGCGGUAAUACGGAGGGUGCGAGCGUUAAUCGGAAUUACUGGGCGUAAAGCGCACGUAGGCGGUUUGUUAAGCUAGAUGUGAAAGCCCCGGGCUCAACCUGGGAAUAGCAUUUAGAACUGGCAGGCUAGAGUUUUGAAGAGGGUGGU